rnacentral:misc_RNA from 1 species
AAGUCGUAACAAGGUCUCCGUAGGUGAACCUGCGGAGGGAUCAUUACAGAGUUCAUGCCCUCAUGGGUAGAUCUCCCACCCUUGCGUAUUUAUACCUUUGUUGCUUUGGCAGGCCGCCUGGGCUCGCGCCUGGCCACCGGCUCCCGGGCUGGUGCGUGCCUGCCAGAGGAUCUCCAAACUCUAGUUAUCAGUGUUGUCUGAGUACUAUACAAUAGUUAAAACUUUCAACAACGGAUCUCUUGGUUCUG